UUUCAACACAUGCAGCAAUGAGCGGGCAGCCUGGACUCCUGGGCACAGAACGCCCGGAAAAAAGCCUCACCCAAGGGCUUCAAUUCUCAUCUGUGUUCAUGGGAAAAUCCAACUUCUUACAUUCUCUGCUGGGUCCCCAGGGCACAGCCUGGAGACCAGCCUCUGUCACAGUCACGGCCACCUGCUGCCCUAGGACACGGGACAGGUGACACGCACACUCCCGCUUGCCCGCUGCCAUGAGUAAAAGCUCUUUGAGCACCGCCCCCCCCCGCCAAGAAACCAAGUGGAUGCUGGGGCCACACUUCCUGUCCAGCCUGCAGAGCCGUGAGCCAAUGAAACCUCUUUUCUUUAUAAACUGCCCAGUCUCAGGUAUUUAUUUAUAGCAGUGCAAGAAUGUGCUGACACAUGCCUGUUUACAGGAAAAGUGCUCCCUACCCACUGGCCCAGCCCUGAGACAGGCCCUCCAGGGGCAGACGUGGGCAGCAUGUCCUUCUUCACCCUGGAAUGGAGUCAGGCAGCCAGGACGGCAGCCUCAUUACCACUGUGGCCCAGCUGCAAGAAAAUGAUCGGUCCAGCUCCAGCCGGCCUUGGGAUGCAUUGUUCUGGCUGCCACGUCAAUUACCGAGCUGGCCUGGAGCUGUCAAGCCUGUCACAGCUGUUGCUGUGAUACCCUAAAGAGCCACAAAAGUGAAUCUGUCUUAAGUGAUGCUUCUUUGAAGUGACCCCCACUGCAGGCCGCUCUGGCCUGGGUGGGGCUCUGCAGACACCCUGGGGAGAGUGGGGCUCCAGACUGCAAAGGGCUGCCUAGGGGCUCAGGGAUGGGUGCUCUGAUCCUUGGAAGAGCUCCCAGACGGCUGAGCACUGAUGGUCACUGACUGUACCCACAGGGGUCCCGGAGUCUGGGUGACGGCCCUGACUCAAGCACAGUGAAUGGGCAGCUACAGUUCCAGGCCCACCCCCACCCCUACACCAACAUCUCCAGUGUCUUCUCUCUGGCAUCUCAGGGAACACCGAGGGGCAGCUGCAGCUGAGGGGUCAUCCUGUGUGCCCCCCCACCCCACCCCACCAGAACAGAACAGAGACUCUGGCAAUUCACAGGUUGCAGGGACAAGGCCAGAGACUGCCCGGAGCACUCAGGGGCUCUGGCCGUCAGUCCGGCUCUUCCCUGCCGAGGGUCUGGAUAGCUGCAGUCUACAUUUCAGAGCUGGGGUGAAUCUCCCAGGGCAGGGCCUUGAAGCUGGAGUCAGGUCCAGCCAAGGGCUGGGGCAAGAGAAGCUCUGGAAGGCUCUGGCCUGAGGAUUACACCAGCUUCUUUGAGGGGUCAAACUUGAGCAUAAUACUGGCGUGGUGGUGCACACAUGGAAUCCCAGCUACUCGGGAGGCUGGGGCAGGAGGAUUGCUUGAGCCCAGGAGUUUGAGCUCCCAUGUUGAGUCUGGGCAACAUAGUGAGAUCCCAUCUCUUAAAAAAAGACACCAAACCUGAGUAUGGAUGCCAAUCUUGGGCUUGUCAGUGGCUGGCUGUGGGGACAUCACCUCCCCUGGAUACCUGUCCAAGAGCCCCUUUCUGCUCCCUUCUGAAUGGCCGGC
rnacentral:lncRNA from 1 species